UACGGAGGAUGCAAGCGUUAUCCGGAAUUAUUGGGCGUAAAGCGUCCGCAGGUGGCACUUCAAGUCUGCUGUCAAAGACCGGGGCUUAACCCUGGAAAGGCAGUGGAAACUGAAGCGCUAGAGUGUGGCAGGGGUAGAGGGAAUUCCCGGUGUAGCGGUGAAAUGCGUAGAGAUCGGGAAGAACAUCGGUGGCGAAGGCGCCGCUCUGGGCCGAAACUGACGCUGAGGAGCGAAAGCAUGGGUAGCAAACAGG
rnacentral:rRNA from 1 species